ACCUUCUUGACGAAUUAGGGUUUUGGUUUUUGUGAAUCUGGGAGACUCUUUAAAAGCACCUCAGUGCUCUCCCCAUAUCACCAUUGCAAUUUCUCACCAUCCACUAUCAAUCUUCUUCCUUCGCUUUCCCUGAUCUUUUACUGUCAAUUCAAAACACCGGCCAAGAUGCAGAAUGAAGAGGGUCAAAACAUGGAUCUUUACAUCCCCAGAAAAUGUUCUGCAACAAAUAGGCUAAUUACUGCAAAGGACCAUGCGUCUGUCCAGCUUAAUGUCGGGCAUUUGGAUGAUAGUGGUGUUUAUACCGGAACCUUCACCACCUUUGCUCUUUGUAGUGUAACUC